rnacentral:rRNA from 1 species
CGCAUCUGUGCAUGCAGCAUAUCAAUAAGCGGAGGAAAAGAAACUAACAAGGAUUCCCCUAGUAACGGCGAGUGAAGCGGGAAGAGCUCAAAUUUGAAAUCUUAAAGGGUUUCCCUUUACGAAUUGUAGUUUAAAGAAGUGUUUUCUGUUGAGGUUUUGGUAAAAGUUCUUUGGAAUAGGACAUCAUAGAGGGUGAGAAUCCCGUAUUUGACCUUUACUUUCAACUUUGUGAUACACUUUCAAAGAGUCGGAUUGUUUGGGAAUGCAGUCCAAAAUGGGUGGUAAAUUUCAUCUAAAGCUAAAUAUUGGCGAGAGACCGAUAGCGAACAAGUACCGUGAGGGAAAGAUGAAAAGAACUUUGAAAAGAGAGUUAAACAGUACGUGAAAGUUGUCAAAAGGGAAGCGUUUGACACCAGUGUUGUUUUUCUGAAAAUCAAUUAAAGAACUGUUUAUGCUAAGUUGUUUAGACUUUAUCAGCUAUCUGUUUAGUUUUGAGCUUUUCUUUAAUGCACUUUUCAGUUAACAAGUCAACAUCAAUUUCUUUUGCUGUAAAAAAGCUUGAGGAAGGUGGCUUGAGAUUCGUCUUAAGUGUUUAUAGCCUCUUGCCUAUGCAGUCGGAGAGAUUGAGGUCUGCAGCGUAGAUCCUUCGGGGCUAAAUGCAUUUGUGCUAAGUUAUAGCAUUUUAUAGACAACUUGUUGACUAUGAUUUGUCUUGUAGCUUACUCGCUUAUGUUAUUUUACCUACGCUUAGGAUGUUGAACGCGCACAGAGUCUC